GCGGAUGUGGUGAAAUGGUAUACACGCUGGUUUUAGGAACCAGUGCCUUAAAAAGCGUGGAGGUUCGAGUCCUCUCAUCCGCA
rnacentral:tRNA from 1 species